rnacentral:snRNA from 1 species
GUGCUAUUGCUUAGGCAGCACAUAUACUAAAAUUGGAAUGAUACAGAGAAGAUUAGCAUGACUC